rnacentral:rRNA from 1 species
GACCUGCACGAAUGGCGUAAUGAUGGCCAGGCUGUCUCCACCCGAGACUCAGUGAAAUUGAACUCGCUGUGAAGAUGCAGUGUACCCGCGGCAAGACGGAAAGACCCCGUGAACCUUUACUAUAGCUUGACACUGAACAUUGAGCCUUGAUGUGUAGGAUAGGUGGGAGGCUUUGAAGUGUGGACGCCAGUCUGCAUGGAGCCGGCCUUGAAAUACCACCCUUUAAUGUUUGAUGUUCUAACGUGGACCCGUGAUCCGGGUUGCGGACAGUGUCUGGUGGGUAGUUUGACUGGGGCGGUCUCCUCCUAAAGAGUAACGGAGGAGCACGAAGGUUGGCUAAUCCUGGUCGGACAUCAGGAGGUUAGUGCAAUGGCAUAAGCCAGCUUGACUGCGAGCGUGACGGCGCGAGCAGGUGCGAAAGCAGGUCAUAGUGAUCCGGUGGUUCUGAAUGGAAGGGCCAUCGCUCAACGGAUAAAAGGUACUCCGGGGAUAACAGGCUGAUACCGCCCAAGAGUUCAUAUCGACGGCGGUGUUUGGCACCUCGAUGUCGGCUCAUCACAUCCUGGGGCUGAAGUAGGUCCCAAGGGUAUGGCUGUUCGCCAUUUAAAGUGGUACGCGAGCUGGGUUUAGAACGUCGUGAGACAGUUCGGUCCCUAUCUGCCGUGGGCGCUGGAGAACUGAGGGGGGCUGCUCCUAGUACGAGAGGACCGGAGUGGACGCAUCACUGGUGUUCGGGUUGUCAUGCCAAUGGCACUGCCCGGUAGCUAAAUGCGGAAGAGAUAAGUGCUGAAAGCAUCUAAGCACGAAACUUGCCCCGAGAUGAGUUCUCCCUGAGACUUUAGGUCUCCUGAAGGAACGUUGAAGACGACGACGUUGAUAGGCCGGGUGUGUAAGCGCAGCGAUGCGUUGAGCUAACCGGUACUAAUGAACCGUGAGGCUUAACCUU